UACUAUGAUGCCCCUGCAGCUUGUGUGGAGUUUGGGCCUUGCUUGUGUUGAUAUCUAUGCUAUGAGGAAUAGAAAAGACCUUCACGAACGAACGUUUGUAUUCUUCUUGGUUGUCGGUGACGGGAUCAUGGCGCUUCUCACUUUCACAGCAGCCUGUGCCUCCGCCGGUGCAUCGACUCUCUAUGUGGGGGAUGUGCACUUCUGCAGAAAGGUGGCCUGCGGUCAAAUCGUGCUUUCGAUCGUCCUGGCAUUCAUCGCGUCUUUAUUGGCGGCUGCAUCCUAUUUCUCCAUGUUUGAGCUACAUGCUUCAUUUUCUUAGUGAUCUCGCGAGUCUGUAAUCAAAGUCACGUUGUGCUAAUUGUCAGGACGGUAGAUUGAUUGCACUGUGGUCAGAUGAUGUGGAACCAAUUAAGAUGAAGAUUAUGCUUUGGUUAUCCCGUUAUUGAGCUUGUGACUUGUAA